ensembl:ncRNA T27E4.17 ncRNA
GGGUCGGAUGUAGGCAAGAUCGGAUCGGAUCUGUAUUUAAGGUUCGGAGCGCAAUUCUUCAAUUUAAAAGCUGCAUAAAACCGAUGGGUUAUCUUUCUAGGACACUUGUAGCACCGUGCCAGUCGGUUUAUGAAGGUUG